rnacentral:rRNA from 1 species
CCUACGGGAGGCUGCAGUGGGGAAUAUUGCACAAUGGGGGGAACCCUGAUGCAGCAAUGCCGCGUGGGUGAAGAAGCACUCCGGUGCGUAAAGCCCUGUCAGCAGGGAAGAAAAUGACAGUACCUGGACAAGAAGCCCCGGCUAACUACGUGCCAGCAGCCGCGGUAAUACGGAGGAUUCAAGCGUUAUCCGGAUUUAUUGGGUUUAAAGGGUGCGUAGGCGGUUCGAUAAGUUAGAGGUGAAAUCCCGGGGCUCAACUCCGGCACUGCCUCUGAUACUGUCGGGCUAGAGUUUAGUUGCGGUAGGCGGAAUUCGUGGUGUAGCGGUGAAAUGCUAGAUAUCACGAAGAACUCCGAUUGCGAAGGCAGCUUACUAAACUGCCACUGACAUUGAUGCUCGAAAGUGUGGGUAUCAAACAGGAUUAGAUACCCUGGUAGUC